rnacentral:piRNA from 1 species
UGCUAUUUUGGGUUCGAGGUCGUUAGAA